rnacentral:sRNA from 1 species
CGGCUGCGUCGGCGUCGGUUCUGCAACGCUGUAUCGUGUCGCCGGCUGGGAGGCAUAGUGCCUCUCUGAUCUUCCUGCAUGGCUCAGGUGAUUCUGGACAAGGAUUACGAAUGUGGAUCAAGCAGGUUUUAAAUCAAGAUUUAACAUUCCAACACAUAAAAAUUAUUUAUCCAACAGCUCCUCCCAGUUACACUGUUGGACCAAGUUUUGCCAGAUCAUAUACUCCUAUGAAAGGUGGAAUCUCCAAUGUAUGGUUUGACAGAUUUAAAAUAACCAAUGACUGCCCAGAACACCUUGAAUCAAUUGAUGUCAUGUGUCAAGUGCUUACUGAUUUGAUUGAUGAAGAAGUAAAAAGUGGCAUCAAGAAGAACAGGAUAUUAAUAGGAGGAUUCUCUAUGGGAGGAAGCAUGGCAAUGCAUUUAGCAUAUAGAAAUCAUCAAGAUGUGGCAGGAGUAUUUGCUCUUUCUAGUUUUCUGAAUAAAGCAUCGGCUGUUUACCAGGCUCUUCAGAAGAGUAAUGGUGUACUUCCUGAAUUAUUUCAGUGUCAUGGUACUGCAGAUGAGUUAGUUCUUCACUCUUGGGCAGAAGAGACAAACUCAAUGUUAAAAUCUCUAGGAGUGACCACGAAGUUGCAUAGUUUUCCAGAUGUUUACCAUGAGCUAAGCAAAACUGAGUUAGACAUAUUGAAGUUAUGGAUUCUUACAAAGCUGCCAGGAGAAAUGGAAAAACAAAAAUGAAUGAAUCGAGUGAUUUGUUAAUGUAAGUGUAAUGUCUUUGUGAAAAGUGAUUUUUACUGCCAAAUUAUAAUGGUAAUUAAAAUAUUAAGAAAUAACUUUCCUGACUUAUUUAUUAUUAAAAUGCUUAUCACUGUAGACAGUAGCUAAUUUUAUUAAAGAAAAACAAUAGACAAACAUCUGUGCAUAAUUUUUCAGACACAAUUCUGUAAAUAUUUGGAAAUCUUUUAAGUAUUUAAACAUUUAAAUUUUUGAAAUAAAGUAUUCUAAACUAAUAUAAAUAAGGACAAUGAAAAAACAUGAAAGGACUUAGCAUAGUGUUGUUUUAUCUUUUCUACAACUUUGUUUAAAUUACCUUUCCAAAGAUAUUUGUGUUUAUGUAAUUUUCCACGGAAUAACAUUAAUACUCUAGGUUUAUAAACCGGUUUCACAUUAUUUCAUUUGAUCAUCACAAGAGCUUUGUGAAGUAAGCUGAGAAGUUGUUACUGGUAUUUAAUAAUAGCAAUAGAGGGGUUAAAGACUUUCCCACAGCUUGUGGGUCAAGACAAGAAAUUCAGGUCUCCUAAUUCUCAGUGGAGCUCUAUUGCUGUUAACCCAAAUUGCUACUCUGUUUUAGGUCUCAAUUUCAUCUGUAAAAUGAUACUAAUAGUACUUAUCCCAUUGGAUUUUUGUUGAGAUUUAAAUAAAUAGCCAAAAGCCAAUAAAUAAUAAACACUCAAUAAAGAUGAACCAUAAAGAGAGUCAUGAUCUGGUUCCAGGAAAUACAUUGUUAGAUGACUGAAAAAUUGUAUUACUUCAAUGAAAAUACUACAUAUGACAACAUUUUCAUAUAUUAGUUCGUUCUCAUGCAUACAUAAUCUAAUUUUAUUUGAUCCUCACAACUGUUUGUUUGAUAAAAUAUACAUUAUCCCUAUUUGUAUAAAUAGAAUCAUACAAUACCUGCCUGCUUUCAUUCAACAAAAUUAUCUUGAGAUUUUUCCAUGUUGUAUACAUCAAUAGUUCAUCUAUUUUAUUGCUCAGUAACCCAUUGUGUGGAUGUAUCACUAUUUGUUUACACAUUCACCACUAACAGAUAUUUAAGUUGCUUCCAGUGUGAGGCUGUUAUAAAUAAAGCUGCUAUGAAUAUUCAUGUAAGA